CAGGAUAACAAUAAACGGNGGGAAAUGGGAGGUUGUUGCUGGCCUUAUUANGUAUGUGCACACNANANCUGGACUUGUCUACAAUGUCCCCUUUACACCCCAUGUGCACAUCUGUAGCUGAGGGAUGAUUACGGAGUUUGCCAUUCGGUUGACUCUGAAUGCUCUCGCUAUGUUCAUACUAUACAUACGCAUAUAAUGUCAUUUGGAAUGUUUGUCUAGCGUGUAACAGCGCGAAUGCAAUACAACUUUCAGCAACGGAUCUCUUGGCUCUCGCAUCGAUGAAGAACGCAGCGAAAUGCGAUAAGUAAUGUGAAUUGCAGAAUUCAGUGAAUCAUCGAAUCUUUGAACGCACUUGCGCUCCUUGGUAUUCCGAGGAGCAUGCCUGUUUGAGUGUCAUGAAAUUCUCAACUGCUUUGGAUUUUGUUUCAAAGUGAAGUUGGAUUUGGAGUUGUUAUUGUCGGCAUUGCUCGACUGCUCCUAAAAGCAUUGAAAGCCUGUUCUGAUAGAUCUUGGCAUAUUUGACGUGAUAAUUGUCUACGUCGCAAGCCUUUUGAAGGGCAGGAGUGAGACUUGUUGCAAGCUUGCUUCUGUUGGGGGAACAGCUUUAUUAUAUCGAUCCACACUUANGUCUUUAUUGAUCGUAUGUUGUGUUUCAUUGACCCAUUUGACCUCNAAUCANGCAGGACUACCCGCUGAACUUAAGCAUA
rnacentral:rRNA from 1 species